UACGUAGGGUGCAAGCGUUGUCCGGAAUUAUUGGGCGUAAAGAGCUCGUAGGCGGUUCGUCGCGUCGGCUGUGAAAACCCGGAGCUCAACUCCGGGCCUGCAGUCGAUACGGGCGGACUUGAGUGUUGCAGGGGAGACUGGAAUUCCUGGUGUAGCGGUGAAAUGCGCAGAUAUCAGGAGGAACACCGGUGGCGAAGGCGGGUCUCUGGGCCGUAACUGACGCUGAGGAGCGAAAGCGUGGGGAGCGAACAGG
rnacentral:rRNA from 1 species